rnacentral:rRNA from 1 species
GUCCACGCCGUAAACUAUGGAUGCUAGCCGUCGGCAAGCUUGCUUGUCGGUGGCGCAGCUAACGCUUUAAGCAUCCCGCCUGGGGAGUACGGUCGCAAGAUUAAAAACUCAAAGGAAUUGACGGGGGCCCGCACAAGCGGUGGAGCAUGUGGUUUAAUUCGACGCAACGCGAAGAACCUUACCAGCCCCUUGACAUGUCCGGACGAUUUUCCAGAGAUGGAUUUCUCCUAGCAAUAGGUCGGAACACAGGUGCUGCAUGGCUGUCGU